GUGGUCUAUCAUUGGUUUUUUGUCCAAUAGAUCUCCGGCGGAACUUGGAUGCGUGCAGUCUUUGUUGCCUCUCCACAGCGCCGUCGCCGUUGCGAAGCUUACAUCAUGUCUGAGCACGAACUCAAGGAGUUGCCGCGCUUUCUCACAGGGCACAUGAAUCUCCCAAUGAUUGAAAGAAAUAAAUUGGGCUUUGACCUGAGCAUCAUCAAAUGGAAUUGAUGGUACGUGAAUCGUUUUGCUUCAGGCUGUUUUAGAAGGUGGGCUCCUGUCAUGCACAUAUGCUUGUUCACAUAACAGCUGAACUGUGGUGUUAUUUUUCCUCGACAUAUUUACCUCUUCAAAUCAAUCUGUUCUUUCAAAUGGGAACCAAAAUUACAUGGAUGCGCUCUCCUUUUUCUUUGGGAGGGGGUGGUGUGGGGCGGAUUUUCAUUGGCUAAUCAUUGUUAUUGCUUAUUAGUAUAGACCACCUAUCUUGCUAUUAUGAGUGCACAAUAAUGUAAUGUAAUUUAUGAAUUUUAAUCAUUGCUCCUCAUUGCAUCUGA